rnacentral:rRNA from 1 species
CCUACGGGAGGCUGCAGUGAGGAAUAUUGGUCAAUGGGCGCGAGCCUGAACCAGCCAAGUAGCGUGAAGGAUGACUGCCCUACGGGUUGUAAACUUCUUUUCUAAAGGAAUAAAGUGAGGCACGUGUGCCUUUUUGUAUGUACUUUAUGAAUAAGGAUCGGCUAACUCCGUGCCAGCAGCCGCGGUAAUAAGGAGGAUCCGAACGUUAUUCGGAUUUAUUGGGUUUAAUGGGGGAGUAGGUGGGUUGUGAAGUGAGUUGUGAAAGUUUGCGGGUCAACCCGAAAACUGCAAUUGAAACUGGCAGUCUUGAGUACAGUUGAGGUAGGCGGAAUGCGUGGUGUAGCGGUGAAAUGCUUAGAUAUCACGCAGAACUCCGAUUGUGAAGGCAGCUUACUAACCUGCCACUGACAUUGAUGCACGAAAGUGUGGGUAUCAAACAGGAUUAGAUACCCUUGUAGUC